AGGAGCCUACGGAGGCAGCAGUAGGGAAUCUUCCACAAUGGACGAAAGUCUGAUGGAGCAACGCCGCGUGAGUGAAGAAGGGUUUCGGCUCGUAAAGCUCUGUUGGUAGUGAAGAAAGAUAGAGGUAGUAACUGGCCUUUAUUUGACGGUAAUUACUUAGAAAGUCACGGCUAACUACGUGCCAGCAGCCGCGGUAAUACGUAGGUUGCAAGCGUUGUCCGGAUUUAUUGGGCGUAAAGCGGGUG
rnacentral:rRNA from 1 species